rnacentral:rRNA from 1 species
GAGUUUGAUCCUGGCUCAGAUUGAACGCUGGCGGCAUGCUUUACACAUGCAAGUCGAACGGCAGCACGGGGUUUACCCUGGUGGCGAGUGGCGAACGGGUGAGGAAUACAUCGGAACGUGUCUAUAAGUGGGGGAUAACGCAUCGAAAGGUGUGCUAAUACCGCAUAAUCUCUCAGGAGAAAAGCAGGGGAUCGCAAGACCUUGCGCUUUAGGAGCGGCCGAUGCCUGAUUAGCUUGUUGGUAAGGUAAAAGCUUACCAAGGCUUCGAUCAGUAGCUGGUCUGAGAGGACGAUCAGCCACACUGGGACUGAGACACGGCCCAGACUCCUACGGGAGGCAGCAGUGGGGAAUUUUGGACAAUGGGGGAAACCCUGAUCCAGCCAUGCCGCGUGAGUGAAGAAGGCCUUC